rnacentral:rRNA from 1 species
UGAGGAAUAUUGGUCAAUGGGCGAGAGCCUGAACCAGCCAAGUAGCGUGCAGGAUGACGGCCCUAUGGGUUGUAAACUGCUUUUAUGUGGGGAUAAAGUGAGGGACGUGUCCCUUUUUGUAGGUACCACAUGAAUAAGGACCGGCUAAUUCCGUGCCAGCAGCCGCGGUAAUACGGAAGGUCCGGGCGUUAUCCGGAUUUAUUGGGUUUAAAGGGAGCGUAGGCCGGACUUUAAGCGUGUUGUGAAAUGUAGAUGCUCAACAUCUGAAUUGCAGCGCGAACUGGAGUCCUUGAGUGUGCAGAAAGUUGGCGGAAUUCGUCGUGUAGCGGUGAAAUGCUUAGAUAUGACGAAGAACUCCGAUUGCGAAGGCAGCUGACUGUAGCAUUACUGACGCUGAUGCUCGAAGGUGCGGGUAUCGAACAGGAUUAGAUACCCUGGUA